AUACCUUUCUCGGCCUUUUGGCUAAGAUCAAUUGUAGUAUCUGUUCUUAUCAGUUUAAUAUCUGAUGCGUGGACCAUUGGUUCACUAUGAUGUUAAAUUAAUUUUUAUUUUGGGGAUGGAUCAUUACAGUAGCUUGCUAUUGGAUCCUUCGCGUAUCAUUACAGUAGGGGUUUGACUCACCCAACCAAGAUAAAUUAAAU